UACGGAGGGUGCUAGCGUUGUUCGGAAUUACUGGGCGUAACGCGCACGUAGGCGGGUUGAAAAGGUGCUGGUGAAAUCCCGGGGCUCAACCUCGGAACUGCCUCCAAAACUAUCAAUCUGGAGUUCGAGAGUGGUGAGUGGAAUUCAGAGUGUAGAGGUGGAAUUCGUAGAUAUUCGGAGGAACACCAGUGGCGAAGGCGGCUCACUGGCUCGCUACUGACGCCGACGUAGGAAAGCGUGCGGAUCAGACAGG
rnacentral:rRNA from 1 species